CCUACGGGUGGCAGCAGUGGGGAAUAUUGGGCAAUGGGCGCAAGCCUGACCCAGCAACGCCGCGUGAAGGAAGAAGGCCUUCGGGUUGUAAACUUCCUUUAAGGGGGAAGAGCAGAAGACGGUACCCCUUGAAUAAGCCACGGCUAACUACGUGCCAGCAGCCGCGGUAAUACGGAGGUGGCAAGCGUUGUCCGGAUUUACUGGGUGUAAAGGGCGUGCAGCCGGGGAGACAAGUCAGAUGUGAAAUCCACGGGCUCAACCCGUGAACUGCAUUUGAAACUGUCUCGCUUGAGUGUCGGGGAGGUAAUCGGAAUUCGUUGUGUAGCGGUGAAAUGCGUAGAUAUAAGGAAGAACACCGGUGGCGAAGGCAGAUUACUGGACGAUAACUGACGGUGAGGCGCGAAAGCGUGGGUAGCAAACAGGAUUAGAUACCCCUGUAGUC
rnacentral:rRNA from 1 species